CUGUAUUUGAGCUGUAGAGAGUCUCUGGCACAGGCGGCCUCAGUCCAAUUCAACUCCACACAUGGUUUGCAGAACGGAGCCCACCUCGGAGGCAUAUAGACGAGCUUCUCAUCACUCCUAAUGUCUCAUCACCGUGUUGACUGGCGUGCCUGAGGACAGAAGACAGCGUGACAUAGACACUGGCGGACCCUCAAGUUGACCUCCGAGUGGUAUGGCAAUUCUGAGUGUUUCUUCGGAGGUCAUGACCCUUCCACACCAUGAGCAGGACAAACAGGACCGAGGAGCUACAACAACACAUGGAAUGUUCCCUUUGUUUUCUGCUACACCAAAAUUGUGAAAGAAAUCAAGAAAAUUCCCCUACUACUCUAAUAAAAUGUCUAUAUAUGUGUGUUAGAAUUUAGAAUUUUUGUGUUGUAAGAAAAGGUAAAAUCUCAAAAAAUAGUUUUCUUUAAACUCAGUAUGUUCUGCUGUUUCUCCCUGGAGUCGCUGUUUCACAAAGCGCUGGAAAUGUGAUUUAUUUUUAAGAUCUCACUUGAACAUAUAUUUGUUUUGUCAUCUGCAAUCACUUUGUCUGCAUUAUCCGUUCGUCCCUCACAAUAUAUUAUUACCCCGCAACUGGUUCAAUGUGGAACCGAUUGUUUCUGUGAAGCACAAACAUAAUAAAGUGUAUGAUUA